rnacentral:rRNA from 1 species
AGAGUUUGAUCCUGGCUCAGAUUGAACGCUGGCGGCAGGCUUAACACAUGCAAGUCGAGCGGGGGAAGGUAGCUUGCUACUGGACCUAGCGGCGGACGGGUGAGUAAUGCUUAGGAAUCUGCCUAUUAGUGGGGGACAACAUCUCGAAAGGGAUGCUAAUACCGCAUACGUCCUACGGGAGAAAGCAGGGGAUCUUCGGACCUUGCGCUAAUAGAUGAGCCUAAGUCGGAUUAGCUAGUUGGUGGGGUAAAGGCCUACCAAGGCGACGAUCUGUAGCGGGUCUGAGAGGAUGAUCCGCCACACUGGGACUGAGACGCGGCCCAGACUCCUACGGGAGGCAGCAGUGGGGAAUAUUGGACAAUGGGGGGAACCCUGAUCCAGCCAUGCCGCGUGUGUGAAGAAGGCCUUAUGGUUGUAAAGCACUUUAAGCGAGGAGGAGGCUACUUUAGUUAAUACCUAGGGAUAGUGGACGUUACUCGCAGAAUAAGCACCGGCUAACUCUGUGCCAGCAGCCGCGGUAAUACAGAGGGUGCGAGCGUUAAUCGGAUUUACUGGGCGUAAAGCGUGCGUAGGCGGCUUAUUAAGUCGGAUGUGAAAUCCCCGAGCUUAACUUGGGAAUUGCAUUCGAUACUGGUGAGCUAGAGUAUGGGAGAGGAUGGUAGAAUUCCAGGUGUAGCGGUGAAAUGCGUAGAGAUCUGGAGGAAUACCGAUGGCGAAGGCAGCCAUCUGGCCUAAUACUGACGCUGAGGUACGAAAGCAUGGGGAGCAAACAGGAUUAGAUACCCCGGUAGUCCAUGCCGUAAACGAUGUCUACUAGCCGUUGGGGCCUUUGAGGCUUUAGUGGCGCAGCUAACGCGAUAAGUAGACCGCCUGGGGAGUACGGUCGCAAGACUAAAACUCAAAUGAAUUGACGGGGGCCCGCACAAGCGGUGGAGCAUGUGGUUUAAUUCGAUGCAACGCGAAGAACCUUACCUGGCCUUGACAUACUAGAAACUUUCCAGAGAUGGAUUGGUGCCUUCGGGAAUCUAGAUACAGGUGCUGCAUGGCUGUCGUCAGCUCGUGUCGUGGGAUGUUGGGUUAAGUCCCGCAACGAGCGCAACCCUUUUCCUUACUUGCCAGCAUUUCGGAUGGGAACUUUAAGGAUACUGCCAGUGACAAACUGGAGGAAGGCGGGGACGACGUCAAGUCAUCAUGGCCCUUACGGCCAGGGCUACACACGUGCUACAAUGGUCGGUACAGAGGGUUGCUACACAGCGAUGUGAUGCUAAUCUCAAAAAGCCGAUCGUAGUCCGGAUUGGAGUCUGCAACUCGACUCCAUGAAGUCGGAAUCGCUAGUAAUCGCGGAACAGAAUGCCGCGGUGAAUACGUUCCCGGGCCUUGUACACACCGCCCGUCACACCAUGGGAGUUUGUUGCACCAGAAGUAGCUAGCCUAACUGCAAAGAGGGCGGUUACCACGGUGUGGCCGAUGACUGGGGUGAAGUCGUAACAAGGUAGCCGUAGGGGAACCUGCGGCUGGAUCACCUCCUU